GGGGAUAUGGUCUAGGGGUGUAAGUUCUUGUUCAAAAGCAACGCAAUCGAUAAUUUCUAACCUAUCAAUAGAUGAUUUUCCUUUCGCAUAUUCAGAUUGAAUCUAGCCUAGGAAAGGUCGUGGGUUCAAUUCCCACUGUCUCCA